rnacentral:rRNA from 1 species
GUUGUAUGGUUAAGUGACUAAGCGUACACGGUGGAUGCCUUGGCAGUCAGAGGCGAUGAAAGACGUAGUAACUUGCGAUAAGCCCAGAUUAGGUAGUAACAACCAUUUGAGUCUGGGAUUUCUGAAUGGGGAAACCCACUUACAUAAGUAAGUAUCAUUAACUGAAUACAUAGGUUAAUGAGGCGAACCGGGGGAACUGAAACAUCUAAGUACCCCGAGGAAAAGAAAUCAACCGAGAUUCCGAAAGUAGCGGCGAGCGAAAUUGGACUAGCCCUUAAGCUUUACACGCGUUAGACGAACGGUCUGGAAAGUCCGACGAUACAGGGUGAUAGUCCCGUAGUUGACGACGUGUGUUCAGUGAAAUCGAGUAGGGCGGGACACGUGAUAUCCUGUCUGAAUAUGGGGGGACCAUCCUCCAAGGCUAAAUACUACUGACUGACCGAUAGUGAACCAGUACCGUGAGGGAAAGGCGAAAAGAACCCCUGUGAGGGGAGUGAAAUAGAACCUGAAACCGUGUACGUACAAGCAGUAGGAGCAGGCUUUGUCCUGUGACUGCGUACCUUUUGUAUAAUGGGUCAGCGACUUAUAUUCAGUGGCAAGGUUAACCAUCUAGGGGAGCCGUAGGGAAACCGAGUCUUAACUGGGCGUUCAGUCUCUGGAUAUAGACCCGAAACCAGGUGAUCUAGCCAUGGGCAGGUUGAAGGUUGAGUAACAUCAACUGGAGGACCGAACCGACUAAUGUUGAAAAAUUAGCGGAUGACUUGUGGCUAGGGGUGAAAGGCCAAUCAAACCUGGAGAUAGCUGGUUCUCCCCGAAAGCUAUUUAGGUAGCGCCUCGGACGAAUACUACUGGGGGUAGAGCACUGUUAAGGCUAGGGGGUCAUCCCGACUUACCAACCCUUUGCAAACUCCGAAUACCAGUAAGUACUAUCCGGGAGACACACGGCGGGUGCUAACGUCCGUCGUGGAGAGGGAAACAACCCAGACCGCCAGCUAAGGUCCCAAAUUACUACUAAGUGGGAAACGAUGUGGGAAGGCUCAGACAGCCAGGAUGUUGGCUUAGAAGCAGCCAUCAUUUAAAGAAAGCGUAAUAGCUCACUGGUCGAGUCGGCCUGCGCGGAAGAUGUAACGGGGCUAAGUAGUAAACCGAAGCUGCGGCAAUACUCUUUGAGUAUUGGGUAGGGGAGCGUUCUGUAAGCGGUUGAAGGUGUGUGGUAACGCAUGCUGGACGUAUCAGAAGUGCGAAUGCUGACAUGAGUAACGAUAAAGGGGGUGAAAAACCUCCUCGCCGGAAGACCAAGGGUUCCUGUCCAACGUUAAUCGGGGCAGGGUAAGUCGACCCCUAAGGCGAGGCCGAAAGGCGUAGUCGAUGGGAAACGGGUUAAUAUUCCCGUACUUCUUACAAUUGCGAUGGGGGGACGGAGAAGGCUAGGUGGGCCUGGCGACGGUUGUCCAGGUUCAAGUGCGUAGGCUUGAGAGUUAGGUAAAUCCGGCUCUCUUUAAGGCUGAGACACGACGUCGAGCACCUACGGGUGUGAAGUCAUUGAUGCCAUGCUUCCAGGAAAAGCCUCUAAGCUUCAGAUUGUAAGGAAUCGUACCCCAAACCGACACAGGUGGUCGGGUAGAGAAUACCAAGGCGCUUGAGAGAACUCGGGUGAAGGAACUAGGCAAAAUGGUACCGUAACUUCGGGAGAAGGUACGCUCUUGAUGGUGAAGUCCCUUGCGGAUGGAGCUGACGAGAGUCGCAGAUACCAGGUGGCUGCAACUGUUUAUUAAAAACACAGCACUGUGCAAAAUCGUAAGAUGACGUAUACGGUGUGACGCCUGCCCGGUGCCGGAAGGUUAAUUGAUGGGGUUAGACUUCGGUCGAAGCUCUUGAUCGAAGCCCCGGUAAACGGCGGCCGUAACUAUAACGGUCCUAAGGUAGCGAAAUUCCUUGUCGGGUAAGUUCCGACCUGCACGAAUGGCGUAAUGAUGGCCACGCUGUCUCCACCCGAGACUCAGUGAAAUUGAAAUCGCUGUGAAGAUGCAGUGUACCCGCGGCUAGACGGAAAGACCCCGUGAACCUUUACUACAGCUUGGCACUGAACAUUGACCCUACAUGUGUAGGAUAGGUGGGAGGCUUUGAAGCACGUACGCCAGUAUGUGUGGAGCCGUCCUUGAAAUACCACCCUUGUAGUGUUGAUGUUCUAACGUCGACCCCUUAUCGGGGUUGCGGACAGUGCCUGGUGGGUAGUUUGACUGGGGCGGUCUCCUCCCAAAGAGUAACGGAGGAGCACGAAGGUGGGCUAAUCACGGUUGGACAUCGUGAGGUUAGUGCAAUGGCAUAAGCCCGCUUGACUGCGAGAAUGACAAUUCGAGCAGGUGCGAAAGCAGGUCAUAGUGAUCCGGUGGUUCUGAAUGGAAGGGCCAUCGCUCAACGGAUAAAAGGUACUCCGGGGAUAACAGGCUGAUACCGCCCAAGAGUUCAUAUCGACGGCGGUGUUUGGCACCUCGAUGUCGGCUCAUCACAUCCUGGGGCUGAAGUCGGUCCCAAGGGUAUGGCUGUUCGCCAUUUAAAGUGGUACGCGAGCUGGGUUUAGAACGUCGUGAGACAGUUCGGUCCCUAUCUGCCGUGGGCGUUGGAAGAUUGAAGGGGGCUGCUCCUAGUACGAGAGGACCGGAGUGGACGAACCUCUGGUGUUCGGGUUGUGUCGCCAGACGCAUUGCCCGGUAGCUAAGUUCGGAAUCGAUAACCGCUGAAAGCAUCUAAGCGGGAAGCGAGCCCUGAGAUGAGUCUUCCCUGAUACUUUAAGUAUCCUAAAGGGUUGUCGGAGACUACGACGUUGAUAGGUCAGGUGUGUAAGUGCUGUGAGGCAUUGAGCUAACUGAUACUAAUUGCCCGUGAGGCUUAACCAUACAACACCCAAGGGGUUU